AUGAAUAUAUGUAUAUGUAUAACUGAUUCACUUUGUUAUAAAGCAGAAACUAACACACCAUUGUAAAGCAAUUAUACCCCAAUAAAGAUGUUAAAAAAAAAAAACCUACUGUAUAGCACAGGGAACUCUACUCAAUAUUCUGUGAUAAGCUAUAUGAAAAAAGAAUCUGAAAAAGAAUGAAUAUAUGUAUAUGUAUAACUGAAUCACUUUGCUGUACACCUGAAACUAACACAAUAUUGUAAAUUAACUAUAAUCCAAUAAAAUUUUUUAAAAAGUAAUGAAGCACUGAUCCCUGCUACAACAUCGAUAUACCUUGAAAACAUUAUGCUUCAUGAAAAGAGCCAGUCAGAAAGACCACAUAUUGUUUGAUUCCUUUCAUAUGAGAUGUCCAGAAUAGGCAAAUCCGUAAAGGCAGAAAGUAUAUUAGUGGUUUCCAUUGGCUGGUGGGAAGGAGGAAAUGGGGAUGACUACUACUGGGUGUGGGGUUUCUUUGUGGGGUGAUGAAAAUGUUCUGGAAUUAGGCAGUGGUGAUGGUUGCACAGUCUUGUAAAUGUACUGUAAAAAUCACUGAAUUGUAUACUUUAAAAUGGUGAGUUCAGGGACUUCCCUGGCGGUCUAGUGGUUAAGACUCUGCGCUCACAGUGCAGUGGGCAUGGGUUCCAUCCCUGGUUGGGGAACGUAGGAUCUGGCGUGCAGCACGGCCUGGCCAAAAAAAAAAAAAAAGAAAAAGAAAAAUGAUGAGUUUUUUUGGUAUAUGAAUUAAAUCUCAAUAAAAAAUAUCAGACCUCUAAAACUGCUUGGUACUUCCUUGCAAACGAAUAUAAGCAGAUGUUUUAAUGACCUAGAAUUCCACUUAUCAAAUUAGAGGCUGAGAUAUAAAUGCAACUCACUUCUUUGGAUUCCCAGCAUGAGACAGAAAGGCUAAAGUAAGCCCUGUUGUGUCUUAAAAGUAUACUCUUUCCUACAAAUGAAAUUCAAAUGCAAUAGUACAUGUUUUUUGAGAAUAUGCUUAAAUAUUGUUUAUGAAUUUGCCAUUCCUCUUCUCAUGUGAGAAAACUAUGUAACUCUCUUCAAAACAAUUUUGUGUGUUUGAGAUGUGUUUAAAAUAGCAAAUUUAAAAGAUGGAAAAACCUCUUUACACAGAGCUGCAAUUGCUUAAAAAUUGUCAGUGUGUACAUAUUUGAGAAUUUUUGUUGCAUGUUAAAGGUUGAUUCAUCAGAAAGGAAAUGGAAACAGAAGAGUGAAUGGUAUAGAAAGGAAAGAGAGCAGGAGCUUCCUACAUAGAGUCAUGGUUACCCAGCUGCGCAGCUUGCAGAUCUUAGUUCCCUGCUGUGGAAGCGCGGGGUCCUAACCACUGGACCGCCAGGGAAGUCCCUCAGGUAAUGUUUACUAACGUGAAUGAAGCGCUGCUGAGACUUGCUCAUGUUUUUAAAAAGAUGAGGAUGGUGAUGACUCAGUGGCAAGAUCUUUUGGCCGAGAAUUCAUCUUGAAAAUACUUGUACUAACCUAGCAACACACAUGUAACAAGGGGAAACAGCCCAAAUAGGCUUAAGAUAAAGCAGGAGAGAUUUUUAGGAUUUUAGUAAGCAAGACUUUCUCUUUCUUUCUUUCUUUCUUUCUUUCUUUCUUUCUUUCUUUCUUUCUUUCUUUCUUUCUUUCUUUCUUCCUUCCUUUCUUUCUUUCUUUCUUUCGUCAAGAUGAUUAAACACUGGAAUGAGCUAUAGAGGUAGAUUAUUGAGAAGAUUUGGAGGGGUGGACAAUUCAUUCAUUCAAAGGAAAACUGGGAGGCAAAGUAAAGGAAGGGGGAAAAGUUUAAGUAUGAGGGAUUUGGCAUUUAUCCAUGGAAAACAGAGGAAGGCGGAUACAAUCUUUUUUUUUUUCUUGCACUUUUUGGUCUCUCAACUAUGUAUGGCUUCCCCAGCAGGAUGAAGAGCUUGUGGUGGGUGGAGCUGCUUCUUCGCUGUGUUGUAGAGCCAUCAAUCAGGCCAAUAAAAUAAAAGAAGGCAGCAGAUGUUUUUCUCCCCAAAGAAGGGGUUGGAAUGGUUACCGAGUAACUGUUUUUCUGGUAAUGUCCAUAUACCUUCAGUCACAAAACGAUACAAACAAACAACCGUAGCUCUGAUAUACUUCACCCAAAGGAAUGUUGUGGGUGACGGGUAGGGAAGGACGUGCUAUUACGAAGAAGGGGCAACGGGAGUUGGAAAAAAAUAUAGGCUCGAACAUGUGGCAGGACAGGAAGUAAAAGAAUAAAAAUAAGUGGUGCAAAAAGUCACUGAAGGAAAAAUAUGAAAACCAAAAAAAAAAAAAAGUUAGUGGGACACUCACUACAUAGAAAACAAGUUUGGAAGUUUGUGAUUAGAUUCUUGGAGGAGAGUGUAGACUGUGGCAUAUACUGCACAAAAAGCUGAUGAUCAAAGCCAGUAUAGAACACGUCAAUCCCAGAAACAUCGGAGCUUGGACUGCUCGUUCACGCAAUAAUUUUAGGUGUCCAAGAGCAGGAAUCUGUAUUUUUAAUAAGUGCUUCUACUGAUUCUUAAGAUCAAGCAAGUUUGGGAAGCACUCUCCUGUAAGGUAGUAGAAGGAGUUUCCAUCAAAAUGUGAAACAUCAAAUGAUUUCACUUGAAAGACAACUCAUACAAAAGACAGAAGGAGAAGCGAGAUAAAAGACUGAAAUUUUGAUUUGGGGAAUAAGUAAUUAUUUUUUUGCCCUGCUUGCUCCCAAAAUGAUUUAAGGUUGCACGGUUAUAAUAUUAAUAAUGAAAGUGCUUUCUAUCAGCUUGGCACUAUACGUGUAUUUUAUUAUUUGAUGCCCACAACGACCCCCUGAGGUAGAAAGUACAAUUGUUAUCUCCAUUUUACAGAUGAGGAAACUGAGACUCAGAGAGGUUAAACUAGGAAAAGGUGGAGCUGGGAUCCAGAGCCUCUGCUGAUCUGAAUUGUUUCACGAAACUGCUUACAAACAUGGAAACAGACCGAUCCAAAAAGCCCAGAAACAGCAACAAAAAACACAACUAAGUGAAGAAAUUUGGAUGAAGAAAAAAUAAGGGAAGGAAAAUGGGUGAAGCUGGGAUAGGGUCCUGUUCAUUGAUUACACAUUUGGCUCUAAGCUUUCCAACGGUCAGAGGGAGAAAGGAAACAUCUCUUGAUUCAGAGCAUCUAUAAGAUAAAAGCAAACCUGCUUUUUAGGAGAAACAUAACGAUUUCUGGUAGAAUUUCCUGAGAGAAAUGUCCCAUGUGGACAUUUCUCCUCAAAAAGAGGAGAAAUGCUUCUAUUGAAUGUGUUUUUGUCACAGGAGAAAGGAAACUUUACUGUAUUAAGUUUUUAAAGCUUGGGAAAGCAAAUGUUUAAAAAAGGAAAUAAUUUAAAGAUGGAUUAUAAUAUCAUUCCCUUGUAAAUAUGUUUUACAGUUCACACUUCUUAUAAUAAAAGAACUGCAUGUGGAGUUUUUGUCUUUGGAGAUCUUAAAGAGAA